rnacentral:rRNA from 1 species
GAUGAACGCUGGCGGCGUGCCUAAUACAUGCAAGUCGAGCGAAGCGGGGACGGGGGAGUAACACGUGGAGAAACUCCUUUAAGGAUGGGGUAACUUCGGGAAACCGGAGCUAAACCGGAAAAUGAUAGAAGGAUGCGCGCGGCAUUAGCUAGUUGGUAAGGUAACGGCUGACACAGGCAACGAUGCCUAGCCGACCUGAGAGGGUGAUCGGCCACACUGGAACUGAGACACGGUCCAGACUCCUACGGGAGGCAGCAGUGGGGAAUCUUCCGCAAUGGGCGCAAGCCUGAUGGAGCCACGCCGCGUGAGUGAUGAAGGUCUUCGGGUCGUAAAACUCUGUUAGUAGGGAAGCGUUACCUACUCAGGAAGCCCCGGCUAACUACGUGCCAGCAGCCGCGGUAAUUC